CCCAGCUAGGUGGCCGCGCGCUGACGCGGAGUGAGUGCCUGGGCGGAGCCCUGAGCCGAGCGCCGCGCGUUGCCUGGGAGACACAUACUGGCGGCGGGGAAAGGGAUAGGUGCUGUUGGACGUGCAUGCAGAGUCCGGCGGCUACGGACGCAGUAAUAUUGUCCCUCGGCGGCCGCCGUGGUGAGACCUGGCGCGUUGCCGUGGAGACGGACGGGUCCGGAAGAAGUGGGGUGCGGUGAGCUGAGCAGAUCCUAUCCGCUUCGACGCGGGGACGGCGGUGACCCGGUCUUGCUGUCGGGGCGGGUAACGGGUUGAGCCAGGGUGGGGCUGCUCAGGGGCGUGGAGCUGAGGCCUGGAUUUCUCUGAAGACCCGGCACGGGCGAUUCCUUUCUGCGACGAGAGACAAUUGCUAUGGAAACCAAAGUGCUAGGCCAACGGGGAUUGAGGCUCCAGCAUCAAGACUGGUCUCUUUCCGGAAGACCCUUGCCCCAGGCUUCGCUGGGCGGCCGCUUACGGAACGAAUCCGCCACUCUCCUGAGGAAUCUUGACACCUAGCAGGCGAAGAAGCCUAUUCCAAUGCCAGCUCCCCCAGGAAACCUACCUGGCCAACCUCUAUAAGUGGUGCCUGGCUCUUGUUAACUCUUCGACUUUGUUCCACGUUUGUAACCUAGUGUUUCGCUAACGCCCCGGGGUGUUUGUUCGCUUUUCCCACACAUAAUGGGCCAGAAAGACUUGCUUCGGGACUUUGCUUUAUGACUCUGAACAAGUCAUUUUUUCCCGCUGGGUCUCUCUUUCCUCUUCUGUAAAAUGGAAAUAUUAACUCUAGAUGCCGGUCUGAUUAGGUUUGAAGAUCGAACCAGAUGAGGGAAGCCAAAGACUUUAUAGGCUGUAAAGUGGUGAAACUGAGCUGCUACUGAGUUGCCAUUUUUUUCUCCCCUCCCUCUGCCUCAAGCUAAACGUUCUUCAGAUCUCUUGUGAUUUCUUCAGGCGUUCUUUGUGACUCCCUAGCCUCCGACCUGGAAUAAAUCUCUCUUUACACUUCACUUCCACAGAGCCCUGCAUUUUAACUUCCCUAUCCAAAGCAAGAAAAAUAGUUAUCAUUUUCAGAGGGCUAACUCUGUGCCAAGUCCUGAUAAAACUCUUUACCUGGAUUAUCUCAUUUAAUUUCACAACAUCCUUUUAAGGUUCCGUCACCCAUUGAUGAAAUAGGAGAGGCGAUCUGCACAAGACAGCUAUAUGGUCUCUUCCAACUCCCCAGCCUCUCAUAAUGGAAAGGUGACUUGCCCAAGAUCAGAGUGAACCAGAGCUGAAGCACUCCCAGUCUGCAGGUUCCCAUCACUGAUCAGGAAAAGCCAGAGGUGUCUCAGCAAAGAAGAAAACCUGUUCUUCCACCUUUAUGUUCUGAUCGUGUGUUCAAGGGCCACAUAGGUCAUGGAGAAAUGCUGUAGAGGAAAGGAACAAAGUCUACUGUGCAUCCAGCAAGCGAUAGUACCAUUCAUCUGUCCACUGCCAUCAUCACAGAACUUCAGGCACAAGGAAUACUCCACAGAGAUCUUCCAGCGAGAAGCCGAACUCAUCUCUUUAUUUCAUAGGAGUCUGGGGCAGCAGUCAGGACUCCUAUGUCCCAUCCCUCCGCUUCUUGGAGAGAAAAACAUACAGUUACAAGGAGACCUUUGUCACCACUUUCAACUAGUCAUCAAAUUUAGCAUCACGAACAGUGAUGUAACCUAAAUCUACAGAGCACCUGAUGUCCUGCAGUGUGGCAUGUACAGAAUCAUGGGUGAAGACUGAUCUAACCAUUAGAUCAAUGAGUCACAACCUUCCCCAUACGUUAAAAUCAACUCAGGGCAUUUUAAAGCUCCCCAUUCCCAGUCUGCACCCAAGCUAAUUAUAUUAGAACCUCUGCAGGUGGGAUCUAGGCAUUAGUGUUUUGUUCCAGCUCCCAAAGUGAUGUCAAGGUUCAACCAAGAUCGAGAAGUACUGGCUUAGAGGAAGAUGUUAAAACACACCAAAAGAACAUAAUCAGACAUAUUCAGAAUAUGGGAUAUUAUUUAAGAUUACUGACUUGGCUUCUUCAAAAAGUAAAUUUUUUCAAGAAGAACAGUAUCUUUGAACAUGUGUACUAGGAGAAAAAACAAAGAAAAUGAAAAAGGAGGAGAAACAAAGAAGGAAAGAAAAGGUAAGUGGGGACUGUUCCAGAAUAAGAGA